rnacentral:rRNA from 1 species
UUGAUCCUGGCUCAGAUUGAACGCUGGCGGCAGGCCUAACACAUGCAAGUCGAGCGGUAACAGAGAGAAGCUUGCUUCUCUGCUGACGAGCGGCGGACGGGUGAGUAAUACUUGGGAAUUUGCCUUUAGGCGGGGGACAACCACGGGAAACUGUGGCUAAUACCGCAUAAUGUCUACGGACCAAAGUGGGGGACCUUCGGGCCUCACACCUAAAGAUGAGCCCAAGCGGGAUUAGCUAGUUGGUGGGGUAAAGGCUCACCAAGGCGACGAUCCCUAGCUGUUCUGAGAGGAUGAUCAGCCACACUGGGACUGAGACACGGCCCAGACUCCUACGGGAGGCAGCAGUGGGGAAUAUUGCACAAUGGGGGAAACCCUGAUGCAGCCAUGCCGCGUGUGUGAAGAAGGCCUUCGGGUUGUAAAGCACUUUCAGCGACGAGGAAGGGUGUUGUGUUAAUAGCGCAGCACAUUG